UUAAUUAAUAUGUUAAUUAAUCAAACGAAUAAGUUCGUUAAAGACCUCGGGAUAGUUUUGGACCUUAAGGCCUAAUGGGCUUCGAACGUGAAGCCCAUUAACUUAAGUUGUAUGACAACUUAAUGAAUAAUGAUUCACAAAGGCCCAAUUAGUCCAAAAUAUCCUAAUGGCCGGCCAUGAUGCUAAGGGUAGUGAACUUGGACUUAUUUACAAGUUUGCCACUCAAAUGAAUAA
rnacentral:lncRNA from 1 species